UACGAAGGAGGCUAGCGUUGUUCGGAAUUACUGGGCGUAAAGCGCGCGCAGGCGGCUAUCCAAGUCAGUGGUGAAAGCCCGGAGCUCAACUCCGGAACUGCCAUUGAAACUGUUUAGCUUGAGGACGAGAGAGGUGAGUGGAAUUCCCAGUGUAGAGGUGAAAUUCGUAGAUAUUGGGAAGAACACCGGUGGCGAAGGCGGCUCACUGGCUCGUAUCUGACGCUCAGGCGCGACAGCGUGGGGAUCAAACAGG
rnacentral:rRNA from 1 species